GCCGGUGUAGCCCAAUUUGGCAGAGGCGCUAGUCUUAGGAACUAGUUAGUGUGGGUUCGAGUCCCAUCGCCGGUA
rnacentral:tRNA from 1 species